UACAGAGGUCCCAAGCGUUGUUCGGAUUCACUGGGCGUAAAGGGUGCGUAGGCGGUGGGGUAAGUCGGAUGUGAAAGCUCGGAGCUCAACUCCGAAAUGGCAUUGGAAACUACCCUGCUUGAGGGUCGGAGGGGGGACUGGAAUUCUCGGUGUAGCAGUGAAAUGCGUAGAUAUCGAGAGGAACACCAGUGGCGAAGGCGAGUCCCUGGACGACUCCUGACACUGAGGCACGAAAGCUAGGGGAGCAAACAGG
rnacentral:rRNA from 1 species